rnacentral:rRNA from 1 species
UACGGGGGGGGCAAGCGUUGUUCGGAAUUACUGGGCGUAAAGCGUGCGUAGGCGGCUAUCUAAGUCGGAUGUGAAAUCCCUCGGCUUAACCAAGGAAGUGCACCCGAAACUGGAUAGCUUGAGUACAGAAGAGGAUCGCGGAAUUCCCGGUGUAGUGGUGAAAUGCGUAGAUAUCGGGAGGAACACCAGUGGCGAAGGCGGCUUUCUGGUCUGUUCUUGACGCUGAGGCGCGAAAGCUAGGGUAGCAAACGGG